GCCCUGGUGGCAUAGUGGUUAAAGUGUUCAACUGCUAAUUGACAGGCCGUUGGUUCGAAACCACCAGGGACU
rnacentral:tRNA from 1 species